GACGAACGCUGGCGGCGUGCUUAACACAUGCAAGUCGAACGGAAAGGCCCUGCUUUUGUGGAGUGCUCGAGUGGCGAACGGGUGAGUAACACGUGAGUAACCUGCCCUUGACUUUGGGAUAACUUCAGGAAACUGGGGCUAAUACCGGAUAGGAGCUCCUGCUGCAUGGUGGGGGUUGGAAAGUUUCGGCGGUUGGGGAUGGACUCGCGGCUUAUCAGCUUGUUGGUGGGGUAGUGGCUUACCAAGGCUUUGACGGGUAGCCGGCCUGAGAGGGUGACCGGCCACAUUGGGACUGAGAUACGGCCCAGACUCCUACGGGAGGCAGCAGUGGGGAAUAUUGCACAAUGGGCGGAAGCCUGAUGCAGCAACGCCGCGUGCGGGAUGACGGCCUUCGGGUUGUAACCGCUUUCGCCUGUGACGAAGCGUGAGUGACGGUAAUGGGUAAAGAAGCACCGGCUAACUACGUG
rnacentral:rRNA from 1 species